GGGAGAAGAGGCAUGAUGGGAAGAAGAACCUGGUCCUUUGUUGGGAGUAUUAUGGAAGGAAUUGGCAAGUGACAGAGAGGCAACAGAAUGGAAUUCACACUGCUGAUAUUCAAAGCAUGGUGGCGAGGCAGUUGAAUUUCAACCCAGAUGCAGCACUUCUUUGAGUCUGAACACAAAGAAACUGCUAAGAGACAGCAGUUCACCCUCGAGUGUCCAUCUCAGGGAGCCCAUCUGUCAUGUCUUCAGAAGUGAAAUAUCACCUUUUCUGGAUUGGAGGGCCUGCAGUUAGCCAACCUGAUUCCAGGCUCUGCUGCUUUCUACCUAUGUCACUUGGAACAAAUUGGAAAAAUGUUUUUCCUAUUAAGCUCAGAAGAUCCAGAGACUCAGCAGUUUAUUGGCGUUCCCAAACACAUGAUGGUCCGUGGGGGGAUUUUAACCUCUGCAUGAAGUACUGUUUUCGGCUCUGGAAACAGCUUAAUUUAUUCUCUCUAUUCAAGAGUAAGAAAUAUCACUUCCCCAGUCCAUGAAAACCAAAGAAGAGAGACGUGGAAGGUACCUUGCAGAGCACUCCCACACAUUUCUACGACAUUUCCUGCAAGGCAGCAUUGCAACUCCAAGCAAAUAAAAAAGUUGGG